rnacentral:rRNA from 1 species
AGGAUGAACGCUGGCGGCGUGCCUAACACAUGCAAGUCGAACGAUGCCUUCGGGCAUAGUGGCGCACGGGUGAGUAACACGUAGCUGAUCUGCCUUCGAGCAUGGGAUAACGCCCCGAAAGGGGUGCUAAUACCGUAUAAGCUCACGAGCUUUAGAGGCUUGGGAGAAAAGGGGAACUCGCUUGAAGAGGAGGCUAGGCGGCCCAAUCGAGGUAGUUGGUGUGGUAACGGCGCACCAAGCCAAGCGGGUAGGGGUCUGGACGAGGAUCGGUCCCCCAGACUGGAACUGAGACACGUCCAGACUCCUAGGGAGCAGCAGUGAGGAUAGUUGGACAAGUCGGGCGACAAG